UGGGGAAUAUUGCACAAUGGGCGAAAGCCUGAUGCAGCAACGCCGCGUGAGUGAUGAAGGCCUUCGGGUUGUAAAGCUCUGUCUUUUGGGACGAUAAUGACGGUACCAAAGGAGGAAGCCACGGCUAACUACGUGCCAGCAGCCGCGGUAAUACGUAGGUGGCAAGCGUUGUCCGGAUUUACUGGGCGUAAAGGAUGCGUAGGCGGAUUUUUAAGUGAGAUGUGAAAUACCCGGGCUUAACUUGGGUGCUGCAUUUCAAACUGGGAAUCUAGAGUGCGGGAGAGGAGAAUGGAAUUCCUAGUGUAGCGGUGAAAAUGCGUAGAGAUUAGGAAGAACACCAGUGGCGAAAGGCGAUUCUCUGGACCGUAACUGACGCUGAGGCAUGAAAAGCGUGGGUAGCAAAACAGGAUUAGAUACCCUGGUAGUCCACGCCGUAAAACG
rnacentral:rRNA from 1 species